ensembl:lncRNA
CUAGGCCCUCGGGACGGCGUCCCCAAACCCCCACCCGGCCGUGCCCCACGAUGCAGCUGCGGAAAGAAGCGCCAGCGUGCUCGGUGCCACGUCGGAAUUGGCUCUCGGGACGUUGCAGCUGCCGGGAGGCAGCGCGCGGUCCCCACGCACGGCCGGCCCCCGGGCGGCGCGGGCGGGCCGGGUGCGGAGAGGAGGGAUGCGCGCCCGCCUCCCGCUCGGGUCUGCGUGUGCCACUGCCAGCGUUAGGGACCCCUGGCCCGAGACCCUCCUCCUUCACCAAAACGCGCCCAUGUAACGUACCUUGUUCAGCUCUUGGUCAUAAAGUUGUCCUCAGCCUGUCUGUGUGGUCCCGGAGGGUCGGUGGCGGGCAGUUUCCAAAAUUGAGUCCCCCCUCCCCGGAUACCGGAAAGUCUCUUCUCUUUUUCGUAUCAAAAAAAGCCCGGUGAAGACUCUGCAGAACCCAGGAAGCGCAGAAUCGGGAGAAAGUCUUUGGCUGGGGCUGGUUCAAGACCCUGCUUCAAUGGGCUGCUGGAAGCCAGGACUGGGGUUCCUCUGAGGUUGGACUUCUUUCGCGCUCGAUAGGCCUUGAAAACUGGGUUCCUGCUCCUUAUUACAUAUCUGGGACAAUAAUGAACAGGUCAAAACAGAAAAGUCGAGUAAACUGGGAGCGAUGCUUUUCAACACGUCGCGCAGGGUGUAGUGUUGGGGGAUGUGAUUUGAGGGCAAGAAUUUUAUUGCAAUACUAGGUAGUCAGCCAGCCCGGUCCCCGGGGGCCGACCUGCAAAGUACUACGCGUUUCCGCCCCCCGACCCCCCCACAGCGGUUACACCUCUGGGAAGCAUUACCUUGCCUGAUGACUUCACACUGCUCGGGGAAACCCACUUACUAAUUCUCCCCUACAAACCUUCAGGGCUUCAGCCUUUGUUUGAACCCUGCCUUAGGUGGUUCAACUCUUGAGAAACUGGCUUAAGUUUCAGAGCACAAUUUCAUCCACUUAAUCAGACUCCUGCUUCUUGAUUUUUAGUUGUACGGUAGUUUUUAAAUGCUAACCUGUAAUUUAAAAUAUAUUGUCUAACUGAUGUACUCUUACAUAUAAUGUGGAUUAAACUGAUUUAGGGGGAGGGUGGACAUCAUGGAGUGUCAAGUGUCUGGCUGUGGGACCCCACAGGGGCACUUAACAUCCACUCUAAACUUCCAUGAAUAUUAUAUGUAAUGCAGGCUUGCUGAUUAUUGCUUAGUAGUGCUUAACUGUUCCUGUGCUAAUGGUUCAAGCAGUGAAAACAUUUAGUAAAACUGUGUUUCUUUAUUAAUCAAAAACACAUUUGUUGUUUGUUCCCUUGAACUUGUAAUUCAUGGCCCAUAAAGCAAAAGCAAAAUAUUUCCUCACUGCGGAUGAAUGUAAAAGCUAAUUACAUAUCCGUGCAUUUCUGUCAGUUUCUCCCCCAUCCCCCAAGAGAAUGGGAAAGAGGCUAGAGGUGAAAGUUUACAUUUAAAUUCAGGGGUGAAGCAGAAUACUGUAUCAAUCAGAUUUUCUUAGGCAGGGCAUCCAGAAUAAGAGAUUGAAUAAAUUCAAAUCCCACCUUUGAUGAGGGAUUGUUUGUGUGUUCCUGGAAGCAUAUUUUACCUCUCUAGACCUUUAUUUCCUAGUUGAUAAAUGGAGAAAAUACCUGCUUUACAAAGUUGUUAUGAUGAUAGAACGUGUGAAACUAUGUUAGGAGAUUAGUAGAGUGCCUAAGCUCUACUCUUAGGUAGAGCUUCCUAAUGUAACUUAGCGUUUCCUAAUUUAACCAUUGUCGCUAUUCAAAAACAUUAGUACCCUUCUCCUGGUUUUCUAUUUGUUAUAUUAUUCUUGAUAGGCAUUAACUGGAGUUUCAUCCUGGGCUCAUUUGUUUGACCUACUUCAGCUUCCUACUGUCCCCUCACUGUCUCUCAUAGAUUGAAUUAUUCUAUGUGCCCAUGAAUACACCCCAAACCUUUACGUUUAACCAAAAUUCCUUUCUGGAUUCCAGGCCUGAAUUACGGCUACUAGCCAUCUAGUAUUGAUUAAUAAGCAUCAUAUUUGGAGACGGGAGAUUCAGUUUCACCAACAAGCUAUAGCUUGUUUCAACCAAUUGAAUAACAUACGAUUGUCAAUUUCAAUUUUACCUUUCUAUUUUAAACAUAAGCUGUUUGGAUCAGAAGAUGACAGAUGUUUCAGGUUUUGACAUCCUAAGACAUACUUCUCCAACCUACGCUUGUUAUGGUUUCAACUAUCCAAGACAACAUAGCGAAGAACUUCAGAGGUAGGAGCUUGACCUGAGUCAACGUGAGUCUGCAGCAUGCUCUUGCUAACCUCCUUCCCACAACACAGAACAAGUGUUCACCUGUCUGAGAGACCAAGUUUCCAGAAGAAGGAUUCAGUACCUUCAUACUUCUCUGUGUAAAUGGUUCUCAAACUUUUUGGUGUGAAGUCCCUCUAUACGCUCUUAAAAAUUGUUGAGGACUUCAAAAAACGUGUUUAUAUGGGUUAUAUCUAUCAAUAGACCAUAUUAGAAAUAAAAGCUGACCAAAAAAGUUUUAGAAUAUUUAUUAAUUAAUUUAAAAUAAUAAUAAACGCAAGGACUUGUCACCAUUUUUGUGAAAUGUGGCAUUGUUUUCCAUUUUUGCAAAUCUCCACUAUCUGGCUUAAUAUAAGACAGUUGGAUUCUCAUAGCUGCUUCAUCAUUCUAUUGUUUUGAUUGAAGUAUAUAAAGAAAAUCUGGCUUCAAACAGAUACAUAAUUGGGAAAUAGAGAAGUAUUUUAAUAGUCUUUUUAGAUAGUCUUCUGUGAUACUAUGUCAAAACUUGACAAAUAAUAGUUUUUUUAAACUUAAGUUGUAAUGGUGGAUCUAAAACAAUAGGAAUGAGCUUUUUGUACUCUGUUACUUAAAAUCUCUUUAUCUUAUACUUUAAAUGCAUCUUUUACAACCAUUCAUGCAUUUUAAUGUCCUGUAUCAUUUGUAUUGAUUACUAAGUUAGGCAGAUUUUCCGAAUGUUGAUAUAUUUCAUUAAAAAAACUCACAAUCAUUAAAAUCACCACCAGUCUCAUCCAAAGAGUCUUCAAAUAUUGAGAAGCUGUCACGGUCAUGGUGGCAAAUAAAGUUUUCCAAAA